AGAGUUUGAUCCUGGCUCAGAUUGAACGCUGGCGGAAUGCUUUACACAUGCAAGUCGAACGGUAGAGGGGGCAACCCCUCGAGAGUGGCGAACGGGUGAGUAAUAUAUCGGAACGUGCCCAGUCGUGGGGGAUAACGUAGCGAAAGUUACGCUAAUACCGCAUACGAUCUACGGAUGAAAGCGGGGGACCGUAAGGCCUCGCGCGAUUGGAGCGGCCGAUAUCAGAUUAGGUAGUUGGUGGGGUAAAGGCUCACCAAGCCAACGAUCUGUAGCUGGUCUGAGAGGACGACCAGCCACACUGGAACUGAGACACGGUCCAGACUCCUACGGGAGGCAGCAGUGGGGAAUUUUGGACAAUGGACGCAAGUCUGAUCCAGCCAUUCCGCGUGCAGGAUGAAGGCCCUCGGGUUGUAAACUGCUUUUGUACGGAACGAAAAGGUCCCUAUUAAUACUGGGGGCUCAUGACGGUACCGUAAGAAUAAGCACCGGCUAACUACGUGCCAGCAGCCGCGGUAAUACGUAGGGUGCAAGCGUUAAUCGGAAUUACUGGGCGUAAAGCGUGCGCAGGCGGUUAUGUAAGACAGAGGUGAAAUCCCCGGGCUCAACCUGGGAACUGCCUUUGUGACUGCAUAGCUAGAGUACGGUAGAGGGGGAUGGAAUUCCGCGUGUAGCAGUGAAAUGCGUAGAUAUGCGGAGGAACACCGAUGGCGAAGGCAAUCCCCUGGACCUGUACUGACGCUCAUGCACGAAAGCGUGGGGAGCAAACAGGAUUAGAUACCCUGGUAGUCCACGCCCUAAACGAUGUCAACUGGUUGUUGGGUCUUCACUGACUCAGUAACGAAGCUAACGCGUGAAGUUGACCGCCUGGGGAGUACGG
rnacentral:rRNA from 1 species